GCAUGUUCUGAGUAAGGAAUUCUCUCUGGCUGGGCAGGGCUGGUUGGUAGUUGAUCUUUGCUGGUGGGAAAACAAAGGUAUCCGAUAAUUUCUGUUCUUUUUACUGUGGAGGUCCCCUUGUUUUUGGCAUCUUCUGAAAAGGUGGGUUAAAUCAUAAAGCUUUGACAGCACAGAUUUCAGUAUAUACACAGGAUAAAUACUGAUGAUUUUCCCUGUCUGACAUAGAAGUGAAAGAGCCACUUUAACAAUAACAAAAUAUCCUUGACUCCAGAGCAUUUAAUUGUACACUGUUGGGCUGGCAGCCCUUUAAAUUGCACAGCCUAGCAACUGAGAAAGUAACACAUUUUUGUAAAAUUAGACCUUAAUAGAGGUGAUGAUGUUUGUGCAAAUGUAGCAUAUUCACAUUUUUAGUAGUACUAAAUAAAUGGCUUUACAUAAGGCAAUGAUGGUCUCUUGGUUCCUUACUGGGUCCAACACUCAGGGGCUGACAGUCUUUUCAGUUUUGAUCGGAUAGUCAUUGUCCUCACAUUAUCGUUUCUAUUUGCCUGCAUGGACCUUGUAAAAUGCAACAUGUGUUACAUCUAUUCAGUGGUCUAAAUAAUAUUCGUCUCAUAAAGACGGUCUCAAUUUAGAAUUAUAAUAACCUUAGCCAUGAUGCUAAUUAGUAUCCUAAACUAUUUGAGUGAAAGAACGCCUUCUUUAGUUUGACAAGUGAAAGUUGCAGUUGAAGAUCAGAAGAUUUACAUUUGGACCAGACAUUGAGAAAAAUUGAAAGUUCCUUCUAGUAUGCUGACACCAUCCUCAUCUACCGUCCUCUGAAGCACUCUAAUUUGACAGCUCAUCAGACUUCUUUUUUUUUUUUUUUUUGCAUUACACUGUCAUCUAUGCAAAACAGUGCCAAGUUCAAGAGCAUCUCAUAGCUUCCAAGCUAUCUGCACAAA